rnacentral:tRNA from 1 species
GGGGAUUUAGCUCAGUGGCAUAAGCACCUGCCUUGCAAGCAGGCGGUCAUAAGUUAAAAAAAAAAAAAAAGAGCAAAUAAUAUGUUAUUUAAACUCCA